AGUGGGAUAACUGGGUCAAAUGGUGGUUCUAUUCCAGGUUUUUCUAAGGAAUCUCCCUACUGCUUUCCAGAUUGGUCGCACCAAUUUGCAGUCCCACCAGCAAU
rnacentral:pre_miRNA from 1 species